rnacentral:rRNA from 1 species
AUCCUGGCUCAGGACGAACGCUGGCGGCGUGCCUAAUACAUGCAAGUCGAGCGGAUCAAAGGGAGCUUGCUCCCUGAGAUUAGCGGCGGACGGGUGAGUAACACGUGGGCAACCUACCUAUAAGAUUGGGAUAACUCCGGGAAACCGGGGCUAAUACCGGGUAAUCCGUUUCUCCUCAUGGAGGAACGGUAAAAGAUGGCUUCGGCUAUCACUUAUAGAUGGGCCCGCGGCGCAUUAGCUAGUUGGUAAGGUAAUGGCUUACCAAGGCGACGAUGCGUAGCCGACCUGAGAGGGUGAUCGGCCACACUGGGACUGAGACACGGCCCAGACUCCUACGGGAGGCAGCAGUAGGGAAUCUUCCGCAAUGGACGAAAGUCUGACGGAGCAACGCCGCGUGAGUGAUGAAGGUUUUCGGAUCGUAAAGCUCUGUUGUUAGGGAAGAACAAGUGCCGUUUGAAUAAGGCGGCACCUUGACGGUACCUAACCAGAAGACCGA